rnacentral:rRNA from 1 species
AUUGAACGCUGGCGGCAGGCCUAACACAUGCAAGUCGAACGAGUGGCGGACGGGUGAGAUAUGUCUGGGAAACUGUCUGCUGGAGGGGGAUAACUUCUGGAAAGGGUCGCCAACACCGUAUAACCUCGGAUGUGCCCAGAUGGGUUUAGCUAGUAGGUGGGGUAAAGGCCCACCUAGGCCACGAUCCCUAGCUGGUCUGAGAGGAUGACCAGCCACACUGGAACUGAGACACGGUCCAGACUCCUACGGGAGGCAGCAGUGGGGAAUAUUGCACAAUGGGCGCAAGCCUGAUGCAGCCAUGCCGCGUGUAUGAAGAAGGCCUUCGGGUUGUAAAGUACUUUCAGCGGGGAGGCGUUACCCGCAGAAGAAGCACCGGCUAACUCCGUGCCAGCAGCCGCGGUAAUUC